GUGAAAUCGACGAGUUGUCAGGGAAAAAUCGUUAAGUUGUCAGAGUCCGACGAUCUUAUCUCAAAAUCGACGAUUUGCCUGACCCAAUCGACGAUUUAAGAGGUUGAUUUGAUUCUCGACAAAGACGUUUGGUUUCAAUUCGGUAAAUUCUAACCUUUUAUAAAGACAAUCUUUCUAAAUUCUAACCAUUGGAUUUCUAAUUUCUAUAAACAUUUAAUAAUGCAGCAAUAUACAAAGAGCCCUAAUUUGGGCCCCAACAGCUUAAGUACAUGAUCUUUCUUAGUGAUUCCUCGGAUUGCUUGGCCUUGUUGCCACCAUCCAUGGAAGAAGGAGGGGGAGGAGUAGAGACGAUGCGUCUAGUCGUCUGG
rnacentral:lncRNA from 1 species